ACCCGCCGCCAGGGGUGAUGUCUUACAAACCGAACUUGGCCGCGCACAGGCCCGCCGCCGCCCUCCACGCCGCUGGGAGUGUCCACUCGCCGCCCACCAGCGUGGCCACGUCUUCACAGUACCGCCAGCUGCUCAGUGACCACGGGCCACCGUCCCCAGGCGACACCCAGGGACCUGGGAAUAGCAGGUGCCCCAAAGCAAACGCGCGAGCUGCUGGCCAUCACUGAAGAGCUGGGGAAGGGGGUCAGGCCCACGUCCGCGGGCAGCAAGAGCGCCAUGGAGAGGCUGAAGCCUGCAUCAUUCACGCUGGAGGCCUGGCUCGGAAGGGCUCGGCAGAAACGGAACGGAAUGCCAGAUACUAGCUUCCCUGUUGGUUUUGAAGGAUUCCCGUCUUUUUACAGGAUGAGAAGUUACAGUUCAUCUCCCCUGUUCAGAUGAAACCCUUGUUUUCAAAAUGGUUACAGUUCAGUUUUUCCUCCCAUGGUUCACUUGGCUCUGAACCUACAGUCUCAAAGAUUGAGAAAAGAUUUUGCAGUGAAUUAGGAUUUGCAAUUUAAGUAGUUAGGAACUGCCCAGGUUUUUUUGGUUUGUUUUUUGUUUUUAAGCAUUGAUUUAAAAGAUGCUCCUAAAGUUAUCUUACAGCAAACUAGUUUGCCUCCAAGACACCAUUGUCUCCCUUUAAUCUUCUCUUUUGAAUACAUUUGUUACUCACAGUGUUCUUUGUUCCUUUUCAUAAGCUAAUACCACUCUAGGGAUUUUGUUUUUAAUGCAUAUUGACAGCACGCUUUACUUAGUAGCGGUUCCCAUUUGCCAUACAGUGUAGAUUCUGCUGAAUGUAACUUCUUUUUUGCUUAAGCAUUUGCAUGACUAUUAGUGCUUCAAAGUCAGUUUUUAAAAA